CUCUCCUUAAGAGGUAGGGAUGGCAGAUCAGGAACAGGUACGUGAUUACCAGCAGGUGCAGCAAGUGCCAACUUAGGAACCCAGACACACCAAGGAUUCAAAAAACUGAGAGAAGGAAAAAAAUACAGAACACACCAAGCAUGCCUCACUCACCCAAAGGAAAAAAACAAAUCAAAACACACUCACCCAGUCCCAAAUUCAGGUGAGGGAUGCAGGGUUCAUGACAAGUCAGGCUGACUGCGAGGCACGAGGGGGAAACAAGAGAGUGCCGUGGAAGAAGCCCGAGGAGAGAGCAGGUAUGCGAGCUCAGCUGACUCGACGGAGGACAGAGGUCUUUUCACCUCAGAGGGAGACUGGUCCAGUUUGAUCUCACUCCAAACUCCUUUCCUUUUUCCAGGUGGGCUCUCCUGUUCAUCCUCUAUGCUCCUUCUCUGUAAUAUCAUCCAUCAUCAUGGUUUCCCCUUCCACUGCCACAUCAUUGAUGCUCACCUCUGCAUAUCAAGUAAAUCCAUCAUCACUGCAGGUCUUUCAAUUCACAGAAAGGUCAAAGGAGCAAGAAAGAUACAGACGACGCUGGAAUCUGAGAAUAAAGGGAAUCAAAGACAAAGUAACGUUGGAUGAAAACAUCAGGCAAGAGGUGAUACGACUGUUGGGGGAGAUCGCGCCAGAAUGGUCCCAGAAAAUGGACGAAUACGUGGACACUGAUUGUGCAGUUUACCAAAGCGUCAACAUAGGGAUGCCAUCUGGAGAAUGACUAAAAGGUCGCAGGUCUGUGAGGCUGCAGGGAUCCGAUUCGCAGAGGAUCUGACGAAGGACGACAAGGUGGAAAGUGAAAAACUCUGGCCGCAAAUUCUGCAAGCAAGUAAAAGCGGGUGAGAAGGCAUAUUACCGCGGACCUUUUGGCUUCAUAAACGGUCGCUGCAUAUAUGCCAGAGAAUAAAAAACAUCUCAUUGUAAGCAUGGAAAGACUGAUCAUUUAAAGGCAGGGGUAAUGUUAUCCUCACUGGUUUGACUGUUAGAGGAUUACCCAUUAGCUACAUUUCUAAAGAACCAAAAGAGAUCUUUACUUAUCUUGGUGGUUAUUGUUACGGUUUUAUAGUUUUUUUUUCUUUCUCUAUGUUAAAGACGAGUUUAUUGUUAACUUCUUUGAACACAAGAAGAAAGCAGUAUUUUUAUUUUGUAAGGGACAAAAUGCCCACUGUACUUUCUUACAAGAGACUCACUCCUGUGACGCUGAUGCCACCUUCUGGUCAAACUAAUGGGGGGAAAAGAUUAUAUUCAGUCAUGGUUCCAAUCGAUCUGGCGGUGUAGCCAUCUGCUUCAAUAAAUGUCCAGGGAAAGUAAUCACUUUUAGAGAUGGAUUCUAGAUCACGUAUAAUACAAAAAAUCUCCCAAUUUUAACAUAUGAAUAUGUUAAAUUUAGACUUCAAAUGGAGAACAAAAGAUCUGAAUUUGAAAUGAAUAAUCUGAUUUUAAUGGCAAAAUACUUCAUACACAGAUUUCUUAAAACAUACCCCAUCUUUAAUGCCUUUCUAAAUGAUAUAAUUCUGUAUAAAGAAUCCCUGAAAUGUUGCUAAAACAAAAAAAAGCCCUACUUUUUCAUGAAUAAUUAUGCAAACUCAUCUCCUAGUGUCUACUGCUUGUUUCUUUUUUUUUUUAUUAUUUUCUUUCCUUUUGUCUUUUUUUUUCUUUCCUUUUUUUUUCUUGGAAAAUUAUCAAUAUGGUACUCUGUGUUCAAUUCAUGUUGUAAGAUUGACAGAAUAUGAAUGCAAUGUGCCUUGUUGUAUGUUUGAUAUGAAUC